rnacentral:rRNA from 1 species
AUUGAACGCUGGCGGCGUGCUUAACACAUGCAAGUCGAUCGGUAACGCGGGGGCAACCCUGGCGACGAGAGGCGGACGGGUGAGGAACGCUUGGGAAUCUGCCUAUCAGCGGGGGACAACACGGGGAAACUCGUGCUAAUACCGCAUACGCUCUACGGAGGAAAGCCGGGGACCGCAAGGCCUGGCACUGAUAGAUGAACCCGCGUUGGAUUAGCUAGUUGGUGGGGUAAAGGCCUACCAAGGCGACGAUCCAUAGCUGGUCUGAGAGGAUGAUCAGCCACAUUGGGACUGAGACACGGCCCAAACUCCUACGGGAGGCAGCAGUGGGGAAUAUUGGACAAUGGGGGCAACCCUGAUCCAACCAUGCCGCGUGUGUGACGAAGGCCUUCGGGUCGUAAAACUCUUUUCUGAGGGAAGAACAACCAGGGUAGGAAAUGACCUUGGCCUGACGGUACCUCAGGAAUAAGCAACGGCUAACUCCGUGCCAGCCGCCGCGGUAACAC